rnacentral:rRNA from 1 species
GUACGACGGCAGCACAGGACUUCGUGUCUUGUGUGGAGCGGCAGACGGGUGAGUAAUGUAUAGGAGUGUGCCUGGUAGCGGGGGAUAACUACCCGAAAGCGUCGCUAAUACCGCAUACGCCCUACGGGGGAAAGCAGGGGAUCGCCAGACCUUGCUCUUGCGGAUGGGCCUAUGCCGGAUUAACUAGUUGGUGGGGUAACGGCUCACCCAGGCGACGAUCCAUACCUGGUUUGAGAGGAAGACCAGCCACACUGGGACUGAGACACAGCCCAGACUCAUACCGGAGGCAGCAGUGGGGAAUUUUGGACAAUGGGGGAGAGCCUGAUCCAGCCAUCCCGCGUGUGUGAAGAAGGACUUCGGAUUGUAAAGCACUUUUGGUUGGGAAGAAAGAUCGCGGGUUAAUACCCCGCCGAACUGACGGUACCUGCACAAUAAGCACCGGCUAACUACGUGCCAGCAGCCGCGGUAAUACAUAGGGUGCAAGCGUUAAUCGGAAUUACUGGGCGUAAAGCGCGCGCACGCGGUUCGGAAAGAAAGAUGUGAAAUCCCACAGCUUAACCUGGGAACUGCAUUUUUAAACUACCUGGCUAGAGUGUGUCAGAGGGAGGUGGGAAUUACUCUGUGUAUGAGGUGAAAUGCGUAUAUAUACGGAUGAACACCUAUGGCGAAGCAGACCUCCCUGCGACUAACACUGACACUCACGCACGAAAGCGUGGGGAGCAAACAAGAAUAAAUACACUGGCUAGUCCACGCCCUCAACGAUGUCAACUAACUGGUGGGGGUGUGCGGGCCUUGGUAGCGCAGCGAGCGAGUGAAGUUGCCCGCGGAGGGAGUCCGCAAGCAAGAAUCUCAAUCAAAUGAAUGGGGGCCCACCCACGCAAGCGAUCGAUGAUGUGGAUUAAUUCGAACCAGAAGAACAAUCCUUGCCUUUCACUUCCACAUAUGUAAUCAGAAAGAGAUUUGGCAGUGCGGGCAAGAGAACCCGGGCACAGCUGGGCUAUGGUCGUCGUCAGCUGGGAUAGUGAGAUUUAGGUCCAAGUCCGGCCACGACCGCAACCCUUGUCAUUAGUCGGUACGGAAGGGCACUCUAAGGAGACUGCCGGUGACAAACCGGAGGAAGGUGGGGAUGACGUCAAGUCAUCAUGGCCCUUAUGGCCAGGGCUUCACACGUCAUACAAUGGUCGGGACAGAGGGUCGCCAACCCGCGAGAUGGAGCCAAUCCCAGAAAACCGAUCGUAGUCCGGAUCGCAGUCUGCAACUCGACUGCCGUGAAGUCGGAAUCGCUAGUAAUUCGCGGAUCAGCAUGUCGCGGUGAAUACGUUCCCGGGUCUUGUACACACCGCCCGUCACACCAUGGGAGUGGGUUGCACACAGAAGUAGUUAGCCUAACGCACAGGAGGGCGCUACCACGGUGUGAUCAUGACUGUUGUGAAGUCG